AUGCCACCUCAAACAACCACUCAGGAGUUAUCACUGGCCAUCUGUUCUGACCACCGGACUGGACCUCCCGGAGCCUGUCUGCUGCUUCACAGGCAGGAUCUCACCCCUGGGGACUCUAACCAGAAGCUGAGGGGUGACCUGAGUCGUGUUCUCUUCCAAAGAAUCCUGGGACAGCAGAUGAGACAUGGCCUGGCUGGCUUCCUGGUUUAGCCAUAGUCCACAUGCUCUACAGAAGCGCUGCAGAAGAGACAGACCUGGCCAGGCGGGAGUGAAGCUUCUGAAGACACCUACUGUGUGCUAGACACUUGAGGUACAAAAGUGAGGUAUGCAGCCUCAGUCCUUACCUCUCAGGAGUUUGACAUUUCCCAACUGUUCACACAAGUGUCUACUCAGUUACAGUCUAGAGAGUGUGAUGGAGGAAUAGUGAUGGAAGGCAUCACGGGUCAUAGAGGAAUAUGUGAGCCCUCCUUUGGCAAGUCUCUUUAGGACCACACUCUAACUCACUGAUUUACUCACGGGAAGUGAGGACAGGGCCGGAGUGUCAGCACUGAGACUUGAGGCCAUUUCUCUCUUUAUCCUAAAAAGGGAACUUGAUAAGUCCACAAGACUGUUCUAGGGCAGUGAACUGAGACCCAGGACCAACAGAAAAGGUGAUUGAGGUCUGUGUUGUGGAUCAGACCACCAUGCCAACCCAAAACCGUCCACAAAAAAAAAAAAAAAAGACACAAGAAAUCACUUGAAACUUCACUGUAGCCUGGCCUGGUGGCUCUCAUCUGUAAUCUCCCACCCAAAUACAAACCAGGCCUGGCCCCUUGUAGUUUCGGCAAUCAGAUGAAUUCGGGGUUCUGUAGCCAUAGGCACCCCUGUGAUCGCUAUAGUCUGGACGCAAAGGCAGCAAGUCAUUGCAGGAGAGUGUCACAUCAGACAGGACUACAUAACCAGAUCCUAUUUUGAAAAGCCAGAAAACAAAUUUAACAUUAAUGCUUAAGGACCCGAGAAAGAGUUUCCCUGAUUAAAACAUGGCUACUCUCUCAGAGGAUCUAGUUUGAGUCUGUAACUCCAGUUCUAAGGACCCGAAUCUCUUCUGGUGUCUGCAGGCAAUUAGACAUGCAUGCAAGCAAAAAAAGUCAUACACAUAAUGUAAAGUAUUAAAACUUUUAAAAAAUAAAAUGAAAACUUAAAAAAAUUAAAGUUUAAAA
rnacentral:lncRNA from 1 species